rnacentral:tRNA from 3 species
GUUAAUAUAGUUUAACUGGUUAAAACAAGUGCUUCAUAAGCAUUAAAUGUUAAGUUCAAAUCUUACUAUUAACC